UACGGAGGGAGCUAGCGUUGUUCGGAAUUACUGGGCGUAAAGCGCGCGUAGGCGGCUUUGUAAGUUAGAGGUGAAAGCCCGGGGCUCAACCCCGGAAUUGCCUUUAAGACUGCAUCGCUUGAAUCCGGGGAGAGGUGAGUGGAAUUCCGAGUGUAGAGGUGAAAUCGUAGAUAUUCGGAAGAACACCAGUGGCGAAGGCGGC
rnacentral:rRNA from 1 species